GCGCCCGUAGCUCAGCUGGAUAGAGUACCUGGCUACGAACCAGGUGGUCACACGUUCGAAUCGUGUCGGGCGCACCA
rnacentral:tRNA from 1 species